AGCGAGAGAGAGCUUGCUUUCUCGAGCGAGUGGCGAACGGGUGAGUAACGCGUGAGGAACCUACCUCAAAGAGGGGGACAACAGUUGGAAACGACUGCUAAUACCGCAUAAGCCCACGACCCGGCAUCGACCAGAGGGAAAAGGAGUGAUCCGCUUUGAGAUGGCCUCGCGUCCGAUUAGCUGGUUGGUGAGGUAACGGCCCACCAAGGCGACGAUCGGUAGCCGGACUGAGAGGUUGAACGGCCACAUUGGGACUGAGACACGGCCCAGACUCC
rnacentral:rRNA from 1 species